rnacentral:misc_RNA from 1 species
AUGCGAUAAGUAAUGUGAAUUGCAGAAUUCAGUGAAUCAUCGAAUCUUUGAACGCACAUUGCGCCCGCCAGUAUUCUGGCGGGCAUGCCUGUUCGAGCGUCAUUACAACCCUCAGGCCCCCGGGCCUGGCGUUGGGGAUCGGCGGAAGCCCCCUGCGGGCACAACGCCGUCCCCCAAAUACAGUGGCGGUCCCGCCGCAGCUUCCAUUGCGUAGUAGCUAACACCUCGCAACUGGAGAGCGGCGCGGCCACGCCGUAAAACACCCAACUUCUGAAUGUUGACCUCGAAUCAGGUAGGAAUACCCGCUGAAUUUAAGC